ACGGUACCUACAGAAGAAGCACCGGCUAACUACGUGCCAGCAGCCGCGGUAAUACGUAGGGUGCGAGCGUUGUCCGGAAUUAUUGGGCGUAAAGAGCUUGUAGGCGGUUUGUCGCGUCUGCCGUGAAAAUCCGGGACUCAACCCCGGACCUGCGGUGGGUACGGGCAGACUAGAGUGUGGUAGGGGAGACUGGAAUUCCUGGUGUAGCGGUGAAAUGCGCAGAUAUCAGGAGGAACACCGAUGGCGAAGGCAGGUCUCUGGGCCACUACUGACGCUGAGAAGCGAAAGCGUGGGGAGCGAACAGGAUUAGAUACCCUGGUAGUCCACGCCGUAAACGUUGGGCGCUAGGUGUGGGACUCAUUCCACGAGUUCCGUGCCGCAGCUAACGCAUUAAGCGCCCCGCCUGGGGAGUACGGCCGCAAGGCUAAAACUCAAAGGAAUUGACGGGGGCCCGCACAAGCGGCGGAGCAUGUGGAUUAAUUCGAUGCAACGCGAAGAACCUUACCAAGGCUUGACAUAUACCGGAAACACCUAGAGAUAGGUGCCCCGCAAGGUC
rnacentral:rRNA from 1 species